CCUACGGGUGGCAGCAGUGGGGAAUAUUGGGCAAUGGGCGCAAGCCUGACCCAGCAACGCCGCGUGAAGGAAGAAGGCUUUCGGGUUGUAAACUUCUGUUGUCAGGGACGAAGCAAGUGACGGUACCUUACGAAUAAGUCACGACUAACUACGUGCCAGCAGCCGCGGUAAUACGUAGGUGGCAAGCGUUAUCCGGAUUUACUGGGUGUAAAGGGCGUGUAGGCGGGGUAGCAAGUCAGAUGUGAAAACCACGGGCUCAACCUGUGGCCUGCAUUUGAAACUGUUUUCCUUUAGUACUGGAGAGGCGAGCGGAAUUCCGAGUGUAGCGGUGAAAUGCGUAGAUAUAAGGAGGAACACCAGUGGCGAAGGCGGAUUGCUGGACAGUAACUGACGCUGAGGCGCGAAAGUGUGGGGAGCAAACAGGAUUAGAUACCCGGGUAGUC
rnacentral:rRNA from 1 species